rnacentral:rRNA from 1 species
UACGUAGGGUGCGAGCGUUGUCCGGAUUUAUUGGGCGUAAAGAGCUCGUAGGCGGUUUGUCGCGUCGGCCGUGAAAUCUCCACGCUUAACGUGGAGCGUGCGGUCGAUACGGGCCGACUUGAGUUCGGUAGGGGAGACUGGAAUUCCUGGUGUAGCGGUGAAAUGCGCAGAUAUCAGGAGGAACACCGGUGGCGAAGGCGGGUCUCUGGGCCGAUACUGACGCUGAGGAGCGAAAGCGUGGGGAGCGAACAGG